rnacentral:rRNA from 1 species
UACGAGGGGGGCAAGCGUUGUUCGGAAUUAUUGGGCGUAAAGGGUGCGUAGGCGGUUUGGUAAGUCUUAUGUGAAAUCUACAGGCUCAACUUGUAGUCUGCAUGAGAAACUGCCGGGCUUGAGUAUGGGAGAGGUGAGUGGGAUUCCUGGUGUAGCGGUGAAAUGCGUAGAUAUCAGGAGGAACACCAGUGGCGAAGGCGGCUGACUGGUCCGGUUCUGACGCUGAGGCGCGAAAGCGUGGGGAGCAAACAGG